GGUAGGGUGGCUGAGUUUUAAGUGGUGGAUUGUAGUCCCAUAAACAGAGGUUUAAUUCCUCUUCCUAUCA
rnacentral:tRNA from 1 species